UGCAGGGAGAACAGCACCACGAUUUCUGUGGUUCCUCAUGCACAACCCCUGUCUCCAGCCUUCCACAAGGCAUUGGACUGUGUGUGCAUCAUGUUUGGAGGAAUUCAGGCUGAGAAAGGAUCUGCCUUGAUAUUUCCCUUUAUUGAUCUGUGCUCAUGUUCACACGUGCAGGGAAAUUCUUUCUGUGCAAGCAAGCUGAACUAAUAGAGCCAGCAGAUUGAGCAGCUCUUAACAGCUUCUUAUUAUCAUCUGUCUCUUCUUCAGAUGCAUUCUGGUGUGCCACACAUUUAGCUCUGUCUGCUGGAGAAGUAAAGAAGGUCAAAUGAAGUGAAACAACGAAUAUUAACUCAAGAAAUGUGCAUUGUUUUUAAUUUCCUGUGGAAAAGCUUCAGACAUCUAACCUCAAGACAGAAGGAAAUGCAUCAUGUGUUAAUCAGACAGAACAAGGAAUAGGAAAACAGGAGCUGGGAUGCAAACAUUUCACAAAUCUCAGUGAUGUGGAGAACCUGCUGAGUUCAGCCUGUAGUAACUUUGUGGAUGAGGAUGAGCCCUGCCCACCUUUGCUCCUCACAGCAGUGCUUCAGCCAAGCAGUUGGAGUCCUGACAAUCCAGUGGUCCCAGCCAGAGUGUUUUUAGCUUGACUCAAUGAGAUUCUUUUCCCAGAGCCACACGAGAAUUCGGGGUCUUCCUCAUGUGUUAGAGUUGACACCCUUUAUGAGGUGAUGGUCACCCUGCUCCAGCCUGUCCAGCCAGGAGGUGAUGGUGACCCCAGCCCAGCCUGUCCAGCCAGGAGGUGAUGGCCACCCCAGCCCAGCCUGUCCAGCCAAGAGGUGAUGGUGACCCCAGCCCCCCCCCCCCCCCCCCCCCCCC
rnacentral:lncRNA from 1 species